CAACUCGCCUGUAUGAAGUCGGAAUUGCUAGUAAUCGCGGAUCAGCAUGCCGCGGUGAAUACGUUCCCGGGCCUUGUACACACCGCCCGUCACACCAUGAGAGCCGGGAACACCCGAAGUCCGUAGUCUAACCGCAAGGAGGACGCGGCCGAAGGUGGGUUUGGUAAUUGGGGUGAAGUCGUAACAAGGUACC
rnacentral:rRNA from 1 species